UGUCCUGUAGUCUAAUGGUAGAACGCCCAGUUGUUUGCUGGGAUGGAUGGUGGUUCGAGCCCAUCUGGGACAG
rnacentral:tRNA from 2 species